UUUUUUUCUUUUUUUUAUAUUGUCACCAUUGGGAAUAAAACUUGUCAUCAACAACUUUCAAGCAUUCGUUCUCGUGAUACGAUCGAUGUAAGUUUAUCGACUACGUGCUAGCUUGCCGACCGUGGAUCUUUUUUAUUAUUUAUGUAAAAAUAUUUCUGUAAAGGUGUUUCUCGUUUAAAAUUAUUCGUUUGCAAUUUUGUUAAGCGGAGUUUAAAUCCAGAAAAAUAAUUGGAGGAAGAGACAAUUUGUAUGGAAUUCGUGACAAUUCCAGUAGUGUGAAGGAUCCCUUAACGAGGACGGCCCUGACCGCUAGCGUUAUCCUAUUCGAUGCUUCAUUGACUUUCAUCCUAACUUGCGUGAUGCGUGUUUCGCACACGUGACAUACAGUUUGCAUGGAUACGUGACAUACGAGGUGCACGUAAACGAAGCUGCUGCUGCUGCUGCUGCUGCUGUGCUGCUACUGCUGUUGGUGGUGGUGGUGUUGGAGGUGGUGGUUCUGGGCCGGUUAUACAGAACGUGUUACUUCAUGGUGACACGUAACACGGCUAGAUUGCCGCUAUAUUUCAUUUUUCCAUAAAUGUCGAAUGAACGAUCCGAAACACGUAUAAGUUUCACGAUAAAACAUGUAGUCGUCCGUCCAGUUUUCAGAUUGAAAACUUUGAACAAGGAAUCAAGUGUUAGAACAAAGAAAGAUUCAUCAGUGUUAGAUCAAGAGGAACCGAAGAUUCCUUUAGUCGGAAAUUUUCAAGUUUUAAGUUAGCAAGCAAAUGUGCUGACCGAAUUCGACGAAUAAUUUGGAUGUGAAAGGAUCACGUUGAACAUUUGUAUCUCUCUCUUCCUCUCUCUUUCUCUCUCUCUCUCUCCCCUCCUCUUUCUUGGAGUGUCGAGAGAAGCGAUUUAUUUAAUUAAGCGACAGAUUCUGUAUCGUUCGGCAAGCGUAGUCGGUUUGAAACGGAAGGAGAGCUUCGAAACGCAGAGGAGGGCAACAACGCAGCAACCAAACACUUGUGGCUUUUAAGCUUGUGGCGAACCGGUGCUCCUGAUUCAAUUACCUUUGAAAUCCUUUGUCGUCGGACAUUAAAGCCGGAGCUAAUCCUGGGAGCACGUUGGAAACUCCGAAUGGCUUCUCCUCCUUCUCCUUCUCCUUCUCGUCCUCCUCCUUCAUUCUCUCUCUCUUUCUCUCUCUUUUUCUUUCUCUUUCUCUCUCUCUUUCUAUUUCUAUUUCUUUCAGUUUCGUUUUUUUUUCAUUGAUUAGAAAACAUUCCUGAGUUAAGCCGUAACGGGAAAUUUUAUGGGGUGUUAACUGUAAUCUAUGAACAAAGAUGGCUACUCUCAUUUUAUUUAUAGCACACUCAUUAUCUUUUAAUUUGUUCCUUUUUAUUUUUAUUUUAUAUUCCUUUACCGUUUAUAUGGAAAACGAGAUACAAAUAUUUGAAGACAAUACGUUCGACAUGCUAAUUAAUAGCGAUAUCUUGUUCUCUUCGAUAGAGGAAUAAAGGAUG